GGCCUCUCUCCUCUGCCUAGAGCAGCCCGAGUCCUACAACCUUGGCUCCUGGAAACGAGGGAAAAGCGUGUAAAUGCACAGUGUCCAUCCUGUGUUCAGGACGCGUCUCCUCGCGCCCCCUUCCUCCGCCGCAGGUCGGCCGGGACGCCCGGUGCGCUCCACGAAAAGACAUUUGCAAGAAACGUGCCUCUGUGCCCCCGUCCGGCCCUGCCGGCACCUCUGGUCGGGGCAGAGGCGUGUUUGACAACGCGGGGGUGCUCGCAGCAGUGACUUUUGCCUGGGACAGCGAAACGCCAGCUGUGCGGACGGUCCAGCGUCGGGAGGGAUGGUGUGGUGGCGCUGAAGCUGUGAGGCGCCCGGGCC